rnacentral:lncRNA from 1 species
GUCCUCAAAUUUUAGACCCGAUGAUCUCUACCAAUACCCGCGGUUAUUACCUGCGGAUUACCUGCAAAUUUGCGGGUAUGAGUACUAGUUCUUUUUAUUCGAAAAAUUGCGGGUAAAAUAAAUAGAUGUAUGUUAAAUUAUAGAAGUACUUGCUAAAUUAAAGAAAAUUUUUCUAUAAAUAUCUGUUUUCUUACUUUCCUUCUUUGAAUAUUCAAAAUCUAAGUUUUGCCCUCUUAAAAUUUUAAAAAUAUUUUCAGAUGGGCACGAUAUUAAUGGAGAGGACAAAAUAACUAAAUUAAACAUACUUCUUCUAUAAGAAAAAAAAAAAAUUUAAUGUAAAUUUGUCAUUUUAAAGGACAGUUUUGAUAUAAAUUAUAAAAAAUGUAUGGAAUAAUAAUAAAAUUUGACGGAGGGAGACUAAAUGCAACAAUUUGAAAUGUUGAGGGAGUAAAAUAUAUAUAGGCUUUUGAAAGUUAGGAAGAAAAAGUAAAAAAAGCAAGUAUUUAUAAGUAAGUUUUCUGUAGGAAGCAUAAAAUAGUUGGUGCUUCCGGUUUUUUAGCCCUUAGAUAAAAAAUUCUACGGUUGGGAACUUGGGAUUAUAGCGGUCUCCUUAGGGUUGAGUGGUCUCCUACAUAGUUAGUUAAUUCGGAUUCGGCAAAAAUUCGGUACGGGUAUAGUUCGGAUAAAAUUCGUCUUCUAAUUUUUAAAUUCGUUGAAAAAUACGGCUAAAAAACGGAUUCAUCAAUUAUUCGGAUACGUGAUUUAUUCGGAUAUUAUACGUUUACCAAUUAAAAGUUUGGGAUAAAAAAUUUGGCUAUUAAAUUAAAUUUUUUUCUCUCAAGAUUUAUGCUAUUAGCAUAAAUAUUCAUAUCUUUUACAAAUAUAGAAAUAAAUAGCUACAAAAUUAAGAUAAAUUAAAAUUUGAGUACCAAUAUAGGAAUAAAUAGCUACAAAAUUACAAUAAAUUAAAAUUUGAGUACCAAAGUGUCACCUUCCUCAUA